GUUUAGCCCCGAUAGAAGCGGCAUCCUUUUGUGGCGGUAUUCGCCAUAAAAGAUACAGCGGAUAGCAGGACGAGAG
rnacentral:sRNA from 1 species